GAAGGGAAUUUACUUAUUCUAUGUAAUCAUUUUACUAUCUAAUUCUUCUAUACUGCUAUUCUUUCUAUAAUUCUUGUCUAUCAACAAAAGUGGGAUAUAAAGUAAAGAGCAAAGCAACAAUUGAACUGUUGUUUGAUGAAAAUGUAAUCAAUCCACCACCAAGAUAUAAGAAACCAUUAGCUAAGCUCAACUAAAACAGCAUGUUUAAACAACAUAAAAUUAGAAUAUGAUUGAAGAAAACUAAUUAACAACAUUAUUUGAUUAAAAAAAUAUCAUUUGAUUCAAAAAAGAAAAAAGCUGAAAUAGUUAUAGCCUAUUGUCUAUUAUUGGUAACCCAGCAAGAGGAUUGAGCACCUGUCCAACAAAUUAAAGAGGAUUGUUCCGGUCCAAUCUUCUUUAAUUAGAAAUAAGAAUGGGUGGUCAGCUACAAAGUCUAGUCGAGGACGAGGAGGACCAAAGGAUUCGCAAAAGGCAUUAUGUGGCAUGGAUUGGGUGAAAAUCAACAACGGAAGCCAAGAAGAGGAAGUGUUUGUUCAAUCCAAACACUAUCGGGCAAAAUUAGAGAGGCGAGGCCGCCGGUGAGAUAAGGGUCCGUGAGUACGCGAAUGAGUUGAGAUGAUGGAUAGAUUUGGAGCAGAGGAAGUCAAGAAUCUGUUGUUGAGUGGGACCCUCAGAGCCGGCAGCGAUUAUGAUGCUGAGAAUAACUUGAAUCGAGAGUGGUGAAAACAUAAUGUUGGCUAUUUUGAGUGAAACGUUGGUUAGUUUCAGUGAUCAUUGAAUCACUCAAGACCUUAUAUAUAUACUUCAAAAGAGAUAAAGCGUUGCUCUCACGCUUUGAAUAUAAUAUUAGGAGAACUUCUACG
rnacentral:lncRNA from 1 species